UUUCAGUUCCACUUUCAUUGCUAACGAUAUAACCAAGCAAUGGAUUUUGAUUCUCUAUCAUUUCUUUCCUCUGAUCAUCGUCAUCAGUGACGUCACUGAUAACGAUGAUGUUGUUAUAUUCGAAACCGUGGCCAUGUUGUUGUUGGGUUAUAGAAGCUACAUUGCUGAGUGGAGGAACAGAAGAAUUGGAAGAAGAAGAAGGUUGUUCUUGUUUUUGG
rnacentral:lncRNA from 1 species